AUUGAACGCUGGCGGCAGGCCUAACACAUGCAAGUCGAACGAGUGGCGGACGGGUGAGUAAUGUCUGGGAACCUGCCUGACGGAGGGGGAUAACUACUGGAAACGGUAGCUAAUACCGCAUACCAUCAGAUGUGCCCAGAUGGGAUUAGAUGGUGGGUGGGGUACCGGCUCACCAAGGCGACGAUCCCUAGCUGGUCUAAGAGGAUGACCAGCAACACUGGAACGGGGACACGGUCCAGAGUCUUACGGAGGGAAGAAGUGGGAAAUAUUGCACAAUGGGCGAAGGCCUGAUGCAGCAAUGCCGCGUGUAUGAAGAAGGCCUUGGGGUUGUAAAGUACUUUCAGCGGGGAGGCGUUAACCGCCGAGGAAGCACCGGCUAACUCCGUGCCAGCAGCCGCGGUAAUAC
rnacentral:rRNA from 1 species